GCUUCCUUAGCUCAGUUGGUUGAGCGCGAGUUUCAUAAAUUUGACCCUGCUUACCGGAACAAUCUUGAGUUCGCAAGUUCAAGCCUUGCAAGGGAGCA